rnacentral:rRNA from 1 species
CAGAGUUGAUCCUGGCUCAGGAUGAACGCUAGCUACAGGCUUAACACAUGCAAGUCGAGGGGAAACGACAUCGAAAGCUUGCUUUGAUGGGCGUCGACCGGCGCACGGGUGAGUAACGCGUAUCCAACCUGCCCAUCACUUGGGGAUAACCUUGCGAAAGUAAGACUAAUACCCAAUGAUAUCUCUAGAAGACAUCUGAAAGAGAUUAAAGAUUUAUCGGUGAUGGAUGGGGAUGCGUCUGAUUAGCUUGUUGGCGGGGUAACGGCCCACAAGGCUACGAUCAGUAGGGGUUCUGAGAGGAAGGUCCCCCACAUUGGAACUGAGACACGGUCCAAACUCCUACGGGGAUGCA